GAACGCACCUUGCGCCCUUUGGCUAUUCCGAAGGGCAUGCCUGUUUGAGUAUCAUGAACACCUCAACUCUCAUGGUUUGCCAUGAUGAGCUUGGACUGUGGGGGUCUUGCUGGCUCAUGGUCAGCUCCUCUUAAUUGAAUCAGCUUUCCAGUGUUUGGUGGCAUCACAGGUGUGAUAACUAUCUACGCUUGUGUUGUCCUCCCAGGUAACCUUCAGCAAUGGAGGUCGCUGGAGCUAAUAAAUGCACAUCGCUCGUUGUAGAGAUGGCCUUUUAGAUGUUUGAUCUCAAAUCAGGUAGGACUACCCGCUGAACUU
rnacentral:misc_RNA from 1 species